GAUGGUAUAGCUCAAGUGGUAGAGCACAUGCAUACCAUGCAUGAGGUCCUGGGUUCAAUUCCCCAGUACCUCG
rnacentral:tRNA from 1 species